UACGUAGGUCCCGAGCGUUGUCCGGAUUUAUUGGGCGUAAAGCGAGCGCAGGUGGUUUAUUAAGUCUGGUGUAAAAGGCAGUGGCUCAACCAUUGUAUGCAUUGGAAACUGAUAGACUUGAGUGCAGGAGAGGAGAGUGGAAUUCUAUGUGUAGCGGUGAAAUGCGUAGAUAUAUGGAGGAACACCGGUGGCGAAAGCGGCUCUCUGGCCUGUAACUGACACUGAGGCUCGAAAGCGUGGGGAGCAAACAGG
rnacentral:rRNA from 1 species